rnacentral:hammerhead_ribozyme from 1 species
AUCCAGCUGAUGAAUCGCAAAUAGGAUGAAACGCGAGCCCUGGAU